GCCCGGGUGGCGAAAUGGCAGACGCAACAGACUUAAAAUCUGUUAUCCGCAAGGGUGUGUGGGUUCGAAUCCCACCCCGGGUACCA
rnacentral:tRNA from 1 species